rnacentral:tRNA from 1 species
UAGAAGGUAGUAUAAUGGAGUGCUAAAGAUUUUGAGUCUUUAUGUGCAGGGUUAGAGUCCUGUUCUUCU